UGCUGAGAACACUGGAAGGCCAGUAAGCACCUACCAGUUGAACUCAUACAUGAGCUUGACUUUUCUGUUUUCCAUUCUAGGAAUAGGAGUGGCACAAUGGCUGUUCAAGCAAAAGCUCUUUUGAGGAUUAUUAAUGGGACAUACAAACGCUUUGGUUUUUCAGAAUAAAUAUGUAAAAUGUACACAAAUAUACUGAGACAUCCAGAUACAGGAAGCAGGACUGACACCGCAACCUUGGCACAUCGGGAUGGUGCUCCAACCAACUGAACUAUCCGCCAGGGCCAGACAUUCUGG